ensembl:lncRNA
ACUGUAGGAAAAUGACACGGUGUCACAUAGUCCUCUGUGGCUCCCAGUGUGUGAGUCAUAAUUGUGUGUGAUCAGAUUUGAAGAUGUUGUGUGAUGUGUGUAAUCUACUGUGUCAAGCUUUAUCUUUGAUAUAGAGCACAUAUCUUAAAGUACAACACACACACACACACACACACACACAGCCAGUCCCUUUGGAAUCGAGUAUUUUUCACAGUGCUAUUGAUGUAUUUCUCCAUGCUCUGCAUUAAAACAUUGGACUAGAAUCAAAAUUUCAGCAGUGAUAAAGUGCUUCAUGCACAUUUACUGCUGUGGAUGGUUGACAAUGAGUAAUGCUGUAGAACUGAAGACCUUCAGUGGAGAUGGAGGUUUAAAACUCAUUCCCGUUUUAACUAUUUCAAGGUCACAAGCUCUCACAACAUCCUGGCUCACACAGAAAAAGGAAAAAGAGGACUGAAAACCAGAUGUAUGACCAAGGUGUCCUCAAAGUCCAGGAAGGGUAUGACAUAGCAGGACCCCUACAGAGACAAUGACCGCUUGGUCCGUUGCCUCUGGACCUAACCGCCCCCCACACAGCCUGACCUACACUUCCCCAUGAACACUGUAAACCCUUGUUAUUUAAUUUAAAAUAUAAACCUCCCCUUGGUUUCUCACCUCAAAUCCCACUGUGUUUGUUUGCUCUCAGCCUCACAGGUUAAAGUAAGACAUAACAGAGGUUCCACCAGCAACCACAAGCUUCUUUUCCAAGGUCUGGAUUGCCUUUGUCUGUGUGGUGUGAACUGAAUGGCUGUGGGUGAUGAGUGUUCAGGCACAAGCAUUGUUUAAUUCUGUAUGACACACACAUGGACAUCCACAUAAGGCAUUUGUCAAAACCUUCUGCUCACUGUAACAUCUGUCCACAUGAUCUGCAUGGGGAAUUAUCAUACACAUUACAUAUUAUACAUACUGUACAUGUAUAUCAUUAAGAAUAUACUGGUUAUUCCUGCUGUAAACACUGUUUAGACAACUCUGAAUUGGUGUUCAACUGACCAGUCUAGCUGGUCUCCUAGCCUGUAAAAGCAGGAAAUUUUACAGUAGCUGCAAAGUGGUUCAAAACCAUUUACAACCAGCAAAACAGACUGAGAGACAAACUAUGAUCACCAACCACCGUGAACUAGUUUAAGCUAGUUUUUAUUUAUUUGUUUGCAAAGAUGUGACCUUAAUUAAUAUUAAUGAACCAGGGGUUUUCUUACUUUUUUAUGUAAUU